rnacentral:rRNA from 1 species
CCUACGGGAGGCAGCAGUGGGGGAUAUUGCACAAUGGGGGGAACCCUGAUGCAGCGACGCCGCGUGGGUGAAGGAGUGCUUCGGCAUGUAAAGCCCUAUCGGCAGGGAAGAAGCAAGACGGUACCUGACUAAGAAGCCCCGGCUAACUACGUGCCAGCAGCCGCGGUAAUACGUAGGGGGCGAGUGUUAUCCGGAUUCACUGGGUGGAAAGGGAGCGUAGACGGCCAUGCAAGCCAGGGGUGAAAGCCCGGGGCCCAACCCCGGGACUGCCCUUGGAACUGCAUGGCUGGAGUGCGGGAGGGGCAGGCGGAAUUCCUGGUGUAGCGGUGAAAUGCGUAGAUAUCAGGAGGAACACCGGCGGCGAAGGCGGCCUGCUGGACCGCGACUGACGUUGAGGCUCGAAAGCGUGGGGAGCGAACAGGAUUAGAUACCCUAGUAGUC